rnacentral:rRNA from 1 species
UACGUAGGGAGCGAGCGUUGUUCGGAUUUACUGGGCGUAAAGGGCGCGUAGGCGGCGUGUUAAGUCAGCUGUGAAAUCUCCAAGCUCAACUUGGAACGGCCAGCUGAUACUGAUGUGCUAGAGUGCAGAAGGGGCAAUCGGAAUUCUUGGUGUAGCGGUGAAAUGCGUAGAUAUCAAGAGGAACACCUGAGGUGAAGACGGGUUGCUGGGCUGACACUGACGCUGAGGCGCGAAAGCCAGGGGAGCAAACGGG